CCUACGGGAGGCAGCAGUAGGGAAUUUUGCGCAAUGGGGGAAACCCUGACGCAGCAACGCCGCGUGGUCGAUGAAGCCCCUCGGGGUUUAAAGCUCUGUUAGUGGGGACGAAAACUGACGGGACCCACAGAGGAAGCACCGGCUAACGCGGUUCCAGCAGCCGCGGUAAUACGGGGGGUGCAAGCGUUGUCCGGAAUCAUUGGGCGUAAAGAGUUCGUAGGUGGCACGUUAAGUCUGGUGUUAAAGGCGGAGGCUCAACUUCCGUAGGGCACGGGAUACGGGCGGGCUUGACUGCGGUAGAGGGAAAGGGAAUUCUUGGUGUAGCGGUGAAAUGCGUAGAUAUCAGGAGGAACAUCGGUGGCGUAAGCGCUUUACUGGGCCGUAAUUGACACUGAGGAACGAAAGCCGGGGUAGCAAAUGGGAUUAGAUACCCUAGUAGUC
rnacentral:rRNA from 1 species